rnacentral:rRNA from 1 species
CCUACGGGGGGCUGCAGUGGGGAAUAUUGGACAAUGGGGGCAACCCUGAUCCAGCCAUGCCGCGUGUGUGAAGAAGGCCCUCGGGUUGUAAAGCACUUUCAGUGAGGAAGAACGCCUGGUGGUUAAUACCCAUCAGGAAAGACAUCACUCACAGAAGAAGCACCGGCUAACUCCGUGCCAGCAGCCGCGGUAAUACGGAGGGUGCGAGCGUUAAUCGGAAUUACUGGGCGUAAAGCGCGCGUAGGUGGCUUGAUAAGCCGGUUGUGAAAGCCCCGGGCUCAACCUGGGAACGGCAUCCGGAACUGUCAAGUUAGAGUGCAGGAGGGGAAGGUAGAAUUCCCGGUGUAGCGGUGAAAUGCGUGGGGAUCGGGAGGAAUACCAGUGGCGAAGGCGGCCUUCUGGACUGACACUGACACUGAGGUGCGAAAGCGUGGGUAGCAAACAGGAUUAGAUACCCGAGUAGUC